rnacentral:rRNA from 1 species
CCUACGGGUGGCAGCAGUGGGGAAUAUUGGGCAAUGGGCGCAAGCCUGACCCAGCAACGCCGCGUGAAGGAAGAAGGCUUUCGGGUUGUAAACUUCUUUUGACAGGGAAGAGCAGAAGACGGUACCUGUCGAAUAAGCCACGGCUAACUACGUGCCAGCAGCCGCGGUAAUACGUAGGUGGCAAGCGUUGUCCGGAUUUACUGGGUGUAAAGGGCGUGUAGCCGGGCUGACAAGUCAGAUGUGAAAUCCGGGGGCUCAACCCCCGAACUGCAUUUGAAACUGUUGGUCUUGAGUAUCGGAGAGGCAGGCGGAAUUCCUGGUGUAGCGGUGAAAGGCGUAGAUAUCAGGAGGAACACCGGCGGCGAAGGCGGCCUGCUGGACCGCGACUGACGUUGAGGCUCGAAAGCGUGGGGAGCGAACAGGAUUAGAUACCCUAGUAGUC